rnacentral:lncRNA from 1 species
GUGGGACAGCCCUCCCACUUCGGCAUGUACCCUGAACAGAAAAAAAAAAACAACACACAAUGCACCCAUGAAAACAUUUCUUAGAGCCACAGGGACACCACAUGGGUUGAGGACAAAAUGCUGCGUAGUUCUGACAUUCAGAAAUAAAUCUUUUUAACAUUUGCCAUUAUAAGGUGACCCUAAAUUCCAAGUUUCAAUUCAAGCUCAACUUUAAGCACCAUCAUCAGGGCUAAAUUAGUCACGGGUAAAAUGAAAGACUGAAUUUUGGGUCAAACAAAAUUUCUCAGGUUCAACCAAAAUGGAAAGUCCAAAAUUAUUUAAUUAACAAAAAGGUUUUUUUUUUUUUUUUUUUUUUUUUUCUCUUUAAUAUUUUUUUGCUGAAUCCCUCUUUCUGCUUUUCCCUUUUCAGCUCGGUCACUGAAGCAAAACUCCCAUUAUUCAUCCAUCUCCACGCCAGCAUCUGCAGAGGGAUUGCGACAGAAGUGUAGCGAGGGCCAGCCCACACCAUUCGUCUUACAAAAAUGUUAAUGAGAAAAAAAAAGAAAGAAAAAGUGCUAGUGAGGAUGAAGAAGAAGAGAAAGUUGCACAGAUUUUGAUAAAGUCCUCGUUUGCUUUUUCAAGACAUACCCUGUUGCGGAGAAAGUGUCAUCGUGCAGUAGAGCCCAUCUCUAUUAAAUCUGUGCUGGACAGGGAGGUCUGCCUGAAAAGAAGCCAGAUUUAUGACUCCCUGGUUACUGAUGUUCAUCUGGGUCAGCUCUUCCUUCACUUUUUCUUUUGUUCCUGGCCCCUGUGCUGUGUGCCAGACUCUGAGCUGAUUUCCAGCCCUGCCCUGCCUCACUGGAGUCUUACGAAUCCGUUCCGAAUUAGGACAAAGUUUGUUGUGCUCUGUUUUUGCAAACGCUGCCUCUGGCUCCCUUACAACGCAGCGUCACUGCCCAUCAGUGCUGAAUGCCAUCAGGAGAUGUGUUCAAACAGGCGACAGCCCCAGAUGGUACAAUAA